UGAAAUCUGGUCCUCUGGGCCCGAGUUGUAAUUUGCAGAGGAUGCUUUUGGCGCGGUGCCUUCUAAGUUCCCUGGAACGGGACGCCAUAGAGGGUGAGAGACCCGUACGGUUGGACACCAAGCCUUUGUAAAGCUCCUUCGACGAGUCGAGUAGUUUGGGAAUGCUGCUCUAAAUGGGAGGUAUAUUUCUUCUAAAGCUAAAUACCGGCCAGAGACCGAUAGCGCACAAGUAGAGUGAUCGAAAGAUGAAAAGCACUUUGAAAAGAGGGUUAAACAGCACGUGAAAUUGUUAAAAGGGAAGCGCUUGUGACCAGACUUGCGCCCGGUGAAUCACCCAGCUCUCGCGGCUGGGGCACUUUGCCGGCUCAGGCCAGCAUCAGCUUGCCGUCGGGGACAAAAGCUUCGGGAACGUAGCUCUCUUCGGGGAGUGUUAUAGCCCGUUGCAUAAUACCCUUCGGCGGGCUGAGGUACGCGCUCC
rnacentral:rRNA from 1 species